AGAGUUUGAUCAUGGCUCAGAGCGAACGCUGGCGGCGUGCUUAACACAUGCAAGUCGAGUGCGCGUCUGUAGCAAUACAGAUGGCGCACGGCGCACGGGUGCGUAACACGUGGGUAAUCUGCCCUUCGAAGGGGAAUAACUCGCCGAAAGGCGAGCUAAUUCCGCAUAACAUUCCGAGAACCUUGGUUUUUGGAUUCAAAGGCGUAAGUCGUCGGAGGAGGAGCCCGCGCACGAUUAGCUAGUUGGUAGGGUAACGGCCUACCAAGGCUAUGAUCGUUAGCUGGUCUGAGAGGAUGGCCAGCCACACUGGAACUGAGACACGGUCCAGACUCCUACGGGAGGCAGCAGUGGGGAAUCUUGCACAAUGGGCGAAAGCCUGAUGCAGCGACGCCGCGUGGGGGAUGAAGCUUCUCGGAGUGUAAACCCCUUUCGACCCGGACGAAUGCCCCGCAAGGGGACUGACGGUACGGGUAUAAGAAGCCCCGGCUAACUACGUGCCAGCAGCCGCGGUAAGACGUAGGGGGCCAGCGUUGCUCGGAAUUACUGGGUGUAAAGGGUUCGUAGGCGGUGUGGCAAGUCGGGAGUGAAAUCUCUGGGCUCAACCCAGAGUCUGCUUCCGAAACUGCUGUGCUUGAGUGUGGGAGAGGCGCGUGGAAUUGCAGGUGUAGCGGUGAAAUGCGUAGAUAUCUGCAGGAACACCCGUGGCGAAAGCGGCGCGCUGGACCACUACUGACGCUGAGGAACGAAAGCUAGGGGAGCAAACAGGAUUAGAUACCCUAGUAGUCC
rnacentral:rRNA from 1 species